rnacentral:misc_RNA from 1 species
ACACUGUCGUUUUAGUCUAUGUUCCCUCACCGUCUCUCCACGAUUUCUUAAUUCCUUUUUCUGGUUCACUCUUCAUUCUCAGUGACCCGCUCACGGUAGUUGGCGAUUGGCCUCUUACUGGUCGUUGCCUCGCGAUACUCCUGAGCCAAGUCCACUCCUCUCGAUCCUGAUUGGCGAUCUCACUCAUCCUUCGCUGCCAGAACCUGAGUUCGAGGCUUCAAGCUCAGCUCCGUGCACCCUCAUUAGAAUAACCUUUUGCUGCGCCAUUUUUUUUUUCCUUAAAAACCCUUGCUUUUCCCCUAAAGAUUUUCUUUUUUCAAUUGGUAAACAAUUUUACCCUCUUGGAGUACCUCAACUUGGCAUGUUAAGAGAUUUCUCUUGGGCAGCCAGACCACUUCCAAUUUCUGUUAAUAUUAGACAGCAGAUUCAACGAUUAAGAUAUCUGCAGAUGGAGGAAGAGUCACAGACGCAGACACCAAAAGAAGUCCAUGUUCACUUUAAUCACACAGAUUCUUGCAAGUUUUCCAGAUGGACAGCCAGGGAGAGCUUUCAAUUCAUGUAUGCAAGGCCUUGGCAAGAAGUUGUUGAAUUUUAUUCGAAUGUGGUGAACGGGCACUCGUCAUUGUUAGAGUUGUUUGGAACUCAGAUGCCUUUUGUUCAUGAUGAUGUAAAAAUUCAAGAGAUCUCCUGUAAGACUCAAUUAGACGAUUCUUCAAAUAAAGAAAAGUUUGGUAGGUGGGCAAGAGUAACAUUCAAGAUAGUUCUUUCAUAUAACGGGGGAUCAUUUGAUGGGUGGCAGAAACAGCCUGGCUUGAACACUGUCCAGGGCUUAGUAGAAAGGUCGCUUGGGAGAUUUAUUGAUGAGAAGAAAUCUCAACAACUAAAGGACAAGUGUAAACCCCUUGAAGGUUGUGCUGUGGUAGCUGGGCGCACGGACAAAGGUGUCUCAGCUCUUCGACAAAUUUGUUCGUUCUGUACGUGAUUAUAUUAACUUUUUUUCCUUUGAGUUCUGUUAUUUUAUAUUUAACUUGUAUAGUUAUUAUUUUUAAUAAAUCCUUGCCUUCAGUCACUUGAUAAUAAGUUUACCAUUUUAAUUAUUGACUCACUGUAUUGGUAAAAUUUAGUGUGGUGUGCUUUGUAAACAUUUUUCUAUUAAAGUAAUUUUAAUCAAAGUCCAAUUCUUCUCUUGCCUGGAGGUUUUAAUGUCUUGAAUAAUGAAUGCAAUUUUUUAUCUUAAUGAUCUGCUACUUUAAUGUUCAAUUGAAAAAUCUGUAUCUGCUGAUGUUGAAGUAUUGAUGGAAUUUUUUGGAUAUUGCAAAUAGAAAAAUGAAUUUAAACAGUAUUAGUUCUUC